rnacentral:lncRNA from 1 species
CAAGAAGUGUCCAGAUUAGAAUCUCACUCACUCUGCUAAAGAUCGGCUUCUGUUGUCACUCUCAGCUCAGAGGGCGGGCAGUGGAGCAGGAGCCAGUCAGCGUUGAGGGGCGGGCUGUAUGAACUGUCCAAUCAGGUGGCGGGGAAGGUGGGUUCUGUUUCCUGGCGCCAAAGCCCGGAUCCUGAGCACGGCGCUGAGAGCCGCCCAGCUGGCUAGGCCGUCCUGGUUUAGGAUUUCUACUGGCUGCAGGCUGCGGGAAGCACCCGGGGAGACCCUCCAGCAGCAAUGGCAGCAGGUACAGAGACAUCCCUGUCAGAGCUCAUCGGGCUGGCGAUGGAGGAUUGACGGUGCCCAGGGUCACCCGCAGCCCCCUCGGCCAUCACUUCCAGUGAGCCCAAGGUAACUGUCAGCAUCUCAGGACCGUAUGCAUGCCUUCACCAACCAGACAGUCACUGAGCUCAUUAUGGCAGGAUACCAACCACUGUGAAAAUGAGACAACACUUCCACCUGCCAUCAGAUCCAAGUCUAGCCCCAACCUCCGCCCUGAUGUCAGCUUGAAGCAGCUCCAGAAGAAGAGACCUUCGCCCAGCAACCAUAAAACAAAAGCCUGGAAUGAUAGAUUUCUUUCUCCUUAAAAUAGCGACUACAUGUAAUGGCCACCUUCUUCCCAUAAUGCCCCAUUUCCCUCCACAAGCUCCCCUUCCCACAAUCCACUGUGUUCCCACCUAAAACCCAACCCCAAGAUAGCUUCCUUCUCACCCAAACUGGUUUUCCUCCCAUGAUGCAGUGUGCCCUGCCUAAACCCAGCCCUCAAAAUGGCUUCUCCCACCAAAAGACAACCUUCCCAACAUGCCCCUCUUCCUGCCAAAAGAGUGACCUGAUACUCGCUCCCUUCCUGGCAACUAGUGAUUUCACAAGUUCCUCCAAUCCCUUGGCGACAUGUCCUGUAGACCCUCCAAUCCCUCUGUCAUACCUCCCAAUCCCCCCCCAACCUCUAUAAAUGUGCUCUAGCCCCUGUACUCUUUGUUCAGAGGCAGCCUGGCAGAUUGUCCCUUCUCCUUAAUAAAGGCUUUUUUGUAGUACUGGUCUGGUCUUGGUUUUCAGCUCUUUUACCUGACACUAUUGUUACUACCUUAACAAGACUCCCUCACCUGUGUGAUAGUUUGUUUUAAUUAAACUGUGAAACCACCCCUGACACCUAAUGACUUUGCAAAGUUUUGGUCCUGUGAAAUUCUGCUUGUGUUCCCCCUCUCAGCCCUCCCCAAAUAGAAGAGCCCUUAAAAGGACCCUACAAACUGCUUUUCCUUUGUUGAGAACUUUUCUGGUGUGAGCCAUUCUUGAUCACCUGACUUAUAAUAAAGUACUCCAUUCAAUCCAGAGUGUGGCACAUCUGUAUAGUUUUAGCUCACCUGGCCCUGCAACAAGGAACGGUCAUUGGUCACCGGAUGUGCAGUUU